ACACAUGCAAGUCGAACGGGCAUAGCAAUAUGUCAGUGGCAGACGGGUGAGUAACGCGUGGGAACAUACCUCUUGGUUCGGAACAACACAGGGAAACUUGUGCUAAUACCGGAUAAGCCCUUACGGGGAAAGAUUUAUCGCCGAGAGAUUGGCCCGCGUCUGAUUAGCUAGUUGGUGUGGUAAAGGCGCACCAAGGCGACGAUCAGUAGCUGGUCUGAGAGGAUGAUCAGCCACAUUGGGACUGAGACACGGCCCAAACUCCUACGGGAGGCAGCAGUGGGGAAUAUUGGACAAUGGGCGCAAGCCUGAUCCAGCCAUGCCGCGUGAGUGAUGAAGGCCUUAGGGUUGUAAAGCUCUUUUGUACGGGAAGAUAAUGACGGUACCGUAAGAAUAAGCCCCGGCUAACUUCGUGCCAGCAGCCGCGGUAAUACAAAGGGGGCUAGCGUUGCUCGGAAUCACUGGGCGUAAAGGGUGCGUAGGCGGGUUUUUAAGUCAGAGGUGAAAUCCU
rnacentral:rRNA from 1 species